CCUACGGGUGGCUGCAGUAGGGAAUUUUGCACAAUGGGCGAAAGCCUGACGCAGCAACACCGCGUGAAUGUUAAGCCCUUCGGGGUGUAAAGUUCUGUCAAUAGGGACGAAAGUUGACUGUACCUAUAAAGGAAGCACCUGCUAACUACGUGCCAGCAGCCGCGGUAAUACGUAGGGGGCAAGCGUUAUCCGGAUUUACUGGGUGUAAAGGGAGCGUAGACGGCCGGGCAAGUCUGGAGUGAAAGGCGGGGGCUCAACCCCCGGACUGCUCUGGAAAAUGCCAGGCUGGAGUGCAGGAGAGGUAAGUGGAAUUCCUAGUGGAGCGGUGAAAUGCGUAGAUAUUAGGAGGACCACCAGUGGCGAAGGCGGCUUACUGGACUGUACCUGACGUUGAGGCUCGAAAUCGUGGGGAGCAAACAGGAUUAGAUACCCUGGUAGUC
rnacentral:rRNA from 1 species